AUACGGAGGGUGCAAGCGUUACUCGGAAUCACUGGGCGUAAAGCGCGCGCAGGCGGCUUGGUAAGUUGGAUGUGAAAGCCUACGGCUCAACCGUAGAACUGCAUCCAAAACUGUCAAGCUAGAGUGUGGGAGAGGAAGAUGGAAUUAGUUGUGUAGUGGUAAAAUCCGUAGAGAUAACUAGGAAUACCAAAAGCGAAGGCAAUCUUCUGGAACACUACUGACGCUGAGGCGCGAAAGCGUGGGGAGCAAACAGGAUUAGAUACCCUAGUAGUCC
rnacentral:rRNA from 1 species